GAUGAACGCUGGCGGCGUGCCUAAUACAUGCAAGUCGAGCGAACAGACGAGGAGCUUGCUCCUCUGACGUUAGCGGAGGACGGGUGAGUAACACGUGGAUAACCCACCUAUAAGACUGAGAUAACUUCGGGAAACCGGAGCUAAUACCGGAUAAUAUACUGAACCGCAUGGGGCAAUAGUGAGAGUCGGCUUUGGUGGAACUUAUCGAUGGAUCCGCGCCGUAUUAGCUAGUUGGUGAGGUAACGGCUUUUCAAGGCAACGAUGCGUAGGCGACGUGAGAGGGUGGUAGGCCACACUGGAACUUAGACACGGACCAGACUCCUACGGGAGGCAGCAGUAGGCAAUCGUCCGCAACGGGCGAAAGCAUGACGGAGCAACGCCGCGCGAGAGAUGAAGGUCUUCGGAUCGUAAAACUCUGUUAUUAGGGAAGAACAAAUGUGUACGUAGCUAUGCACUUCUUGACGGUAACUAAUCAGAAAGCCACGGCUAACUACGUG
rnacentral:rRNA from 1 species